rnacentral:rRNA from 1 species
GAUGAACGCUAGCGGCAGGCUUAACACAUGCAAGUCGAGGGGUAUGGUAGCAAUACCAGAGACCGGCGCACGGGUGCGUAACGCGUAUGCAAUCUACCUUUCACAGAGGGAUAGCCCAGAGAAAUUUGGAUUAAUACCUCAUAGUAUAAUGAGUUGGCAUCAACAUAUUAUUAAAGUCACAACGGUGAAAGAUGAGCAUGCGUCCCAUUAGCUAGAUGGUAAGGUAACGGCUUACCAUGGCUACGAUGGGUAGGGUCCUGAGAGGGAGAUCCCCCACACUGGUACUGAGACACGGACCAGACUCCUACGGGAGGCAGCAGUGAGGAAUAUUGGUCAAUGGGCGCAAGCCUGAACCAGCCAUGCCGCGUGCAGGAUGACGGUCCUA